rnacentral:rRNA from 1 species
CCCUUAGAUGUUCUGGGCCGCACGCGCGCUACACUGACUGACUCAACGAGUGUACAACCUGCUUCGACAGAAGUGGGUAAUCUUUUGAAAUUCAGUCGUGAUGGGGCUAGAUUAUUGCAACUAUUAAUCUUCAACGAGGAAUGCCUAGUAAGCGCGAAUCAUCAGUUCGCGUUGAUUACGUCCCUGCCCUUUGUACACACCGCCCGUCGCACCUACCGAUUGGAUGGUCCGGUGAAGCCUCGGGAUUGUGGUUCUUGCCGCUUUAUUGUGGCGUGACCGCGAGAACUUGUCUAAACCUUAUCAUCUAGAGGAAGGUGAAGUCGUAACA